CCAGUUUGAAACCGACAAAUAAGAAGUUCAAGUUGAAUUGCGCAGACAAGUUGUUAUUUCAUGACAUCGAGAUAUGUCCACAGAACAACAGUCCUACAGUUUGGACCGUUGCAACCUUGGACAUUACGUUGAAACAAUAAAAAAGUAUUUAAACCCAAUGAAAGGAGGUUGACUGUCACAGUAGCGAACUGAUCAAGACAGCGACAUCAUCGGUGAAGCCUGAACUGUACUGGUAACACGAUACCGAGAACAAAAAGUUCGAAUCUCGACAUCAACUGCUCAAAAUGAACCGCCUUAUUCUUGUCACCUUCACAUUGCUCUUCUCAUUGUACGCCUUCGACACGGUGUUCUCUCAACUCUUGCCACCCCCUGUAGGAUUCCCACCCACCUUGGCCUUCGGAGGCUCCGACUCUGACAGCGUCCGGAGAUUGGCCUGCCUUCAGUGCAUCACCACCAGCAACCCAAAUGCUUGCGUCUUAUGCGCAGCAAGUUAUUUCAUUGAGGAUUAAACGCUCGCUAGGAACUACUGCUUCCCAACGUAACUCCAAGUGACGUUUUUAUUGUUGCUGUGACCUAUCCUAGGGGGAACCCCCCAGUGUCUUCUGUACAGAAAGUUAUAAGAGAUGUGCCUGACUAAAGGAACAUAAUAAACGACUGUGGUCUGAAUGAAUGUUGAAAUGAGACUGUGUGAAAACUUGAUAUUUACUUCAAGAUGAAAAUAAACGAAACACUAAGCUUAA
rnacentral:sRNA from 1 species